rnacentral:tRNA from 2 species
GUUCAGGUAGCUCAGCUGGUUAGAGAGCAAAGGACUGAAAAUCCUUGUGUCAGUGGUUCGAAUCCACUUCUAAGCG